AAAAAGGCAUGAAAAAAGAGGAGGAAAAAGAAUUUGAGCUGCUAUUUCUAUUAAGAAUGGAUUACUGAGGUGCAGGGAUACAGUCACCAUGAAUGUGAAGGCUCUGCAUGGCUUUGGAGCUCCGUGUCAUUUGGAUGUGCAGAAUUGACUGUGAUUGAAGGAAGUGAAUGAGUACUUGCACAGUGUUGCUGAACGUGGUCUUUGGCAAAUGCAGAUUGCACUGUCUACAUAAUGCCUACAAAAGGUAUCAGUGUGAUGAGUGCUGCUGGGGCAGUUUAAGACAUCAUUAUUUGCACUGCCUCUCUGAGUGGGGAACUGCCUCACAGGAGAGCUGUCAGAGUGAGUGUGUGCUGAGAUCCUGCUUGACAACAAAGCCCAACUCGCAGAUGGUCGAUAACAAUGCGUUUGAGUCAAGACAUUGGAUUGUGAAGAGGAGCAGCCAAAAUGCAGGGACACAUUUUUCUCCUGCUGACUUUGCUAGAGGGAUGGGAGCUUCAGCCCUAGGUGACAGCUAACAGCUGCAGAAUGAUCGCGUCUUAAACUGAAGCAGCUGUUGCUAAGUGACUGAGCUAAAUGUGGCAUUUUAAUUUUGCAAAUUUCACAAAUUAAUUUGGUGUACAGGUUGUUAUCACCUUAGCUAUAAAUAUGUUUAUUUUCUUUUUUUUUUCCCCAUCUAUUUGCAUUUGAGACUGCCUAGCAAUAACCGGGCAACAAAAAUAGAAUCCCCAACACUGUCUGCUCUCAUUAUUGUUUCCUAGCUGAUCCUGUGAUGUGAUUUAUAUCUUGCCAUCUGAUUCCCUAAUUGCAGUUUGCAACGAUGAAGAAAACUGUACAAUGCUUGAAUUGCGAGCCUGUUUCUGUUAGAAGCACAUGAAAUACUUAUUUGAAGACCAAUCAGGAAGCAUUCAAAUCUUCCUUGGUGACGUGGGCUACUUUAGUUGUGUUGCUUGCUUCCUUCUGGAUCUCAGACAUCAGG